rnacentral:rRNA from 1 species
GACGAACGCUGGCGGCGUGCUUAACACAUGCAAGUCGAACGGUAAGGCCCUUCGGGGUACACGAGUGGCGAACGGGUGAGUAACACGUGGGUGAUCUGCCCUGCACUUCGGGAUAAGCCUGGGAAACUGGGUCUAAUACCGGAUAGGACCACUGCCUGCAUGGGUGGUGGGGGAAAGCUUUUGCGGUGUGGGAUGGGCCCGCGGCCUAUCAGCUUGUUGGUGGGGUGAUGGCCUACCAAGGCGACGACGGGUAGCCGGCCUGAGAGGGUGACCGGCCACACGGGGACUGAGAUACGGCCCAGACUCCUACGGGAGGCAGCAGUGGGGAAUAUUGCACAAUGGGCGCAAGCCUGAUGCAGCGACGCCGCGUGAGGGAUGACGGCCUUCGGGUUGUAAACCUCUUUCAGCACCGACGAAGCGCAAGUGACGGUAGGUGCAGAAGAAGGACCGGCCAACUACGUGCCAGCAGCCGCAGUAA